rnacentral:rRNA from 1 species
UGUGGAAGUGCGGCAACGCAUGUAGCUGACCAGUACUAAUAGCUCAAUUGGCUUGAUUUAUG